rnacentral:rRNA from 1 species
CAGCCGCCGCGGGAAAACGAAGGGGGCUAGCGUUGUUCGGAUUUACUGGGCGUAAAGGGCGCGUAGGCGGACUGAUAAGUCAGGGGUGAAAUCCCAAGGCUCAACCUUGGAACUGCCUUUGAUACUGUUUGUCUUGAGUUCGAGAGAGGUAAGUGGAACUGCGAGUGUAGAGGUGAAAUUCGUAGAUAUUCGCAAGAACACCAGUGGCGAAGGCGGCUCACUGGCCCGAUACUGACGCUGAGGCACGAAAGCGUGGGGAGCAAACAGGAUUAGAUACCCGUGUAGUCCCUGUCUCUUAUAC